rnacentral:lncRNA from 1 species
GGAACACGCAAGCAAGCUGAAAAUUUUGCUUACCGACUUGAGCUAAAUGGUCAUAGGCGACGAUUGACUUGGGAAGCGACUCCUCGAUCUAUUCAUGAAGGAAUUGCAACAGCCAUUAUGAAUAGCGACUGUCUAGUCUUUGACACCAGCAUUGCACAGCUUUUUGCAGAAAAUGGCAAUUUAGGCAUCAAUGUAACUAUUUCCAUGUGUUGAAAUGGCAAUCAAACAUUUUCUGGCCAGUGUUUAAAACUUCAGUUUCACAGAAAAUAAGGCACCCAUCUGUCUGCCAACCUAAAACUCUUUCGGUAGGUGGAAGCUAGACACAUGAAGCUGCUGGAUACAAUUUUCAUGGCAAUAGGAACUGAAGUACUUCAAAUAAUGUGAGCUUAAACAUGUUACUUCAUUGAAACAACCAAAACUACUUGAUGUUUACAUCUAAAAUCCUGGUUAAAAUAAAUUUUAGAUUUGGAAAGGGAA